rnacentral:rRNA from 1 species
UACGUAGGGUGCGAGCGUUGUCCGGAAUUACUGGGCGUAAAGAGCUCGUAGGUGGUUUGUCGCGUUGUUCGUGAAAACUCACAACUCAAUUGUGGGCGUGCGGGCGAUACGGGCAGACUGGAGUACUGCAGGGGAGACUGGAAUUCCUGGUGUAGCGGUGAAAUGCGCAGAUAUCAGGAGGAACACCGGUGGCGAAGGCGGGUCUCUGGGACGGUACUGACGCUGAGACGCGAAAGCGUGGGGAGCGAACAGG